rnacentral:rRNA from 1 species
CACGUAGGGGGCGAGCGUUGUCCGGAUUUAUUGGGCGUAAAGAGCUCGUAGGCGGCUCAGUAAGUCAGGUGUGAAAACUCCAGGCUCAACCUGGAGACGCCACCUGAUACUGCUGUGGCUAGAGUCCGGUAGGGGAGCAUGGAAUUCCUGGUGUAGCGGUGAAAUGCGCAGAUAUCAGGAGGAACACCGGUGGCGAAGGCGCUGCUCUGGGCCGGUACUGACGCUAAGGCGCGAAAGCGUGGGGAGCGAACAGG